UACGGAGGGUGCUAGCGUUGUUCGGAAUUACUGGGCGUAAAGCGCGCGCAGGCGGCACUCUAAGUACGUCGUGAAAUAUCCCGGCUCAACCGGGAGGGUGCGAUGUAGACUAGGGAGCUAGAGGUCGGUAGAGGGGGGUGGAAUUGCUGGUGUAGCGGUGAAAUGCGUAGAUAUCUGGAGGAACACCGGUGGCGAAGGCGGCAUCCUGGACCGGUAUUGACGCUGAGGCGCGAAAGCCAGGGGAGCAAACGGG
rnacentral:rRNA from 1 species